GUGGCAAAUUUUUUUGGUUUGGGUAUUGUAGUUUGUAUUUAAUAAAUGUUGUCCAAUCAUAAAAUAACUAGACUUAAAAGAUUCGUUUCACAAAUUACAGGUAACCUGUGUAAAUUAGUUUUGUUUUCGUCUAUAUUUAAUGCUCUAUGCAUGUGCCGUAAGAUUCGAUGUGACGGAGAAUCUUGAAAAUUUUUUGGUACUUUUUGG
rnacentral:lncRNA from 1 species